rnacentral:rRNA from 1 species
UGGCUCACAUUGAACGCUGGCGGCAGGCCUAACACAUGCAAGUCGAACGGUAACAGGAAGCAGCUUGCUGCUUCGCUGACGAGUGGCGGACGGGUGAGUAAUGUCUGGGAAACUGCCUGAUGGAGGGGGAUAACUACUGGAAACGGUAGCUAAUACCGCAUAACGUCGCAAGACCAAAGAGGGGGACCUUCGGGCCUCUUGCCAUCGGAUUGCCCAGAUGGGAUUAGCUAGUAGGUGGGGUAACGGCUCACCUAGGCGACGAUCCCUAGCUGGUCUGAGAGGAUGACCAGCCACACUGGAACUGAGACACGGUCCAGACUCCUACGGGAGGCAGCAGUGGGGAAUAUUGCACAAUGGGCGCAAGCCUGAUGCAGCCAUGCCGCGUGUAUGAAGAAGGCCUUCGGGUUGUAAAGUACUUUCAGCGGGGAGGAAGGGAGUAAAGUUAAUACCUUUGCUCAUUGACGUUACCCGCAGAAGAAGCACCGGCUAACUCCGUGCCAGCAGCCGCGGUAAUACGGAGGGUGCAAGCGUUAAUCGGAAUUACUGGGCGUAAAGCGCACGCAGGCGGUUUGUUAAGUCAGAUGUGAAAUCCCCGGGCUCAACCUGGGAACUGCAUCUGAUACUGGCAAGCUUGAGUCUCGUAGAGGGGGGUAGAAUUCCAGGUGUAGCGGUGAAAUGCGUAGAGAUCUGGAGGAAUACCGGUGGCGAAGGCGGCCCCCUGGACGAAGACUGACGCUCAGGUGCGAAAGCGUGGGAGCAAAACAGGAUUAGAUACCCUGGUAGUCCACGCCGUAAACGAUGUCGACUUGGAGGUUGUGCCCUUGAGGCGUGGCUUCCGGAGCUAACGCGUUAAGUCGACCGCCUGGGGAGUACGGCCGCAAGGUUAAAACUCAAAUGAAUUGACGGGGGCCCGCACAAGCGGUGGAGCAUGUGGUUUAAUUCGAUGCAACGCGAAGAACCUUACCUGGUCUUGACAUCCACGGAAGUUUUCAGAGAUGAGAAUGUGCCUUCGGGAACCGUGAGACAGGUGCUGCAUGGCUGUCGUCAGCUCGUGUUGUGAAAUGUUGGGUUAAGUCCCGCAACGAGCGCAACCCUUAUCCUUUGUUGCCAGCGGUCCGGCCGGGAACUCAAAGGAGACUGCCAGUGAUAAACUGGAGGAAGGUGGGGAUGACGUCAAGUCAUCAUGGCCCUUACGACCAGGGCUACACACGUGCUACAAUGGCGCAUACAAAGAGAAGCGACCUCGCGAGAGCAAGCGGACCUCAUAAAGUGCGUCGUAGUCCGGAUUGGAGUCUGCAACUCGACUCCAUGAAGUCGGAAUCGCUAGUAAUCGUGGAUCAGAAUGCCACGGUGAAUACGUUCCCGGGCCUUGUACACACCGCCCGUCACACCAUGGGAGUGGGUUGCAAAAGAAGUAGGUAGCUUAACCUUCGGGAGGGCGCUUACCACUUUGUGAUUCAUGACUGGGGUGAAGUCGUAACAAGGUAACCGU